rnacentral:lncRNA from 1 species
CCAGGAGGACGAGUAGGCUGGGUUACUCGUCAGUACGACUGCUGGCUCUAGUCUUUCCCUGCUGUAGGAAACUCUGCUUUGUGUCGGUGUUACUACCGAGGUUACCUGUUAUGCCAACCUUUUUGCUAUCAAGUAGCGGCUCUAAUGUGGCAAAUUCUACCGUUACCUUCCUAUCUGAAUUAUCUGCAUGUUUUUUGGACCUGUCUUUUGCAUGCAGUUGCUGAUAUACCUGUCAUCUAGAUUGUAGAAUCUAGUUAUGGCAGUUUACAUGUGGAAUAUGUGUUCUCAGAGCAUCUCCAAGAGUGACCAACCACUUUUGGGAUCAAAAGUGAAAAAUAGUGCUCCAACAGUUGUCCAACCUCAUACCCAAAAUUUCCGCGUGCCCAAAACCAGAUCUAUCCUGAGCACCAAGGCACCAAUCGCCACCGUUUCUUCCGGUCUCUCUCAACUUCUCUCCCGCCGGCAUCCCCCUCGUGCCAAUUUCCCUUUGCAAGGGCCGCGCGUGCCUCACUGCUCCACGAGUGAAUCUCGUCAAACAAUGUGCCACUUUUGGUUGUUCUUCAACGUGAGGUCAUCCAAGUAGAUAGCUGGAAAUAAUUUUAGCAAAUAAGCAAUGGCUAGCUUCUUUUUUCUGGAUUGGAUCAUAUCGAUCCAACUGGUACUUGAAUUUCGCUUUGAUCUCGCGUGCCUGUUCCACUGCUGCCACGGUGCCACCUGCCCGUGCACUCGUGUCUGCCACGCCUAGUUGCGCCGCCCACACAGCAUCACUACCCUGAACUAUGAGUAACCCUUUGAUUCUUAAACCAGCUUACUAUUCACCAUAUUGUAUCCCGGUUUUGCUGACUAGGAUGCCGGUUUGCUGUUUAAUGGCGACACGUGGACCAUCCAACGUGGCAAUAAAAAAAUGAAGUGCACAUAACCCCCUCCGAUUCAGCCCGACUCAGGUGUGCUUGGUCUUCUAUCCUCGAGAUAUUGGCCACCUCCGACCCUCCGUCAUCGCCGAGCACCUCGCCGCCGCCCACUGCGCCGCCAUGGCGGCUCGGAUGUCAUCGUCCAACACUACCAAGUGCAGCGCGUCGUCUCCGCUCAUACGUUGGAGCCAUGCACCACGCCUGGAUGUUGUGCCGUGCUCGCCUGCCUGGGCCUUCGCUUCCGCUAUCGUGGUGUGGUGCCGACGGGUAGCCGCCGGCGAGAGGCCCGGCCGUGGCUGCAGCUCAACCAGGGGCCACAACAUCAUGGGGACAAGCAGGAGGGACCAGCUGAUCCAGGAGGAAGAGCAGCCGCAUCUCGCACCAUCCAGGAGGAAGAGCAGCCACAUCGCUGAAUCUUUUGGAUGGAGAACGGCAGCGGCAGCAAGUUCAGAAGCAAAUUGACAGAACCCAAUGCAUAUCACUUGAGAACUCGCUACAUAAAAAAAAACAAUUAAGUUCACCACAUGCCAUUGGUAAAGCUUGCAUCCUCCAUCCUAACCAAAAUCCAUAGAGCGCACAACAACAGAUCAAAAUCGAACCACAAAUAGAGCCAAAUAAUAGCCGAAUUGACCAAAUUCAGUGCUUACCAAGGCCCUUGGGCAUGUGUAGUACCUCGACCACGCCGCACGGCCAUGGGAUCCCGCGCGAUGAGCAGGGCCGGCGGACGGGACGGAGCAGGGGCGCCAGCGGACUGGAUCGAAUAGGGGAGCGCUGGCAGGCGGGGCCGAGCAGGGCGGGCGCCAUCAGACAUGAACCAGCAGGGGAGCGCCGGCGGACUGGAUCGAGCAGGGUGAGCGCCGGUGGCCGGGGCCUAGCAACGGGCGCCAUGGAACAGGAACGAGCAGGGGAGCGCCGGCGGGGCCGAGCAGGGGCGAUGCGUUGGUUCGAGCCCUUGCCUGAUGGCGGCAGGAGCUCAAGUGGGCUCGAUUCGUUUUGCCACGUUGGACUGCCCAUGUGGAGUCAUUAGUCAGCAAAACAGCCAUCCAGUCAGCGAAACCGGUUUUGAUUACUGACUAAAGGUGAAUAGUGAUCUGGUUUAGCACCCCGACCUUCCUGCAGUUGCAAUCAAUGCAUAUAAAUGAGAGGAAGGUUACCCCUUCCCUUCUGCCCGGUCAGGACUGAACUGGAGCUCCCAUCCAUGAUGGUGCCUGAGCUCAAAGUAGAAAUGGAAAAUUGAAAGCUCAUUGCACAAGACCGGCGAUUAAUCGGGCUGCGAUGGCGCCAUCGGGAUCUGGUGCGUGGGGGCUACGGUUCCAACUAUGAUGUUGGCAAUCGCAAAAAAGGGAUUUGGGAUAUAAUAAUUUUAGUGUUAGGAUCUUAUCUAUAGCAAUAUAGCAUUAUAUACUCAAAGGGGUAUUUGCAAGAAGUCAAAUGAAGAAUGGUGGCAAAACUCCUACCUUCGGGCAUGUGGGGCCCAUUGUGCCACGCCACGUCCGUAGUCGUAUAUGGUCCAAACUUGUUUGGAUGUGUUUUGACAUAUAGGCCUAGUUGCUGUAGCUAUGUGUGCAUUUUGAGAGUUGAGAGAUCUGAAUGACACUCGUUGCCAUGUUAGCAGAGUGACAGUGCACUUUACUCGUAAGAGACUAAUACAAGGGCUUCCUGAUUUCCACUCUCGAUCCUAGACAACCAAGUGCUCACCCACAAAUCUUAAAUUUUGCUGAGUACAACAUGAGAAACUCAAUUGAUAAUAGUGUAGUUUAGUAAAUAGGUAUUGCAAUUCUACAAUUGUCAACAUCCAUAUUGAGACCUUUAGGCUGUUAAAAAAACAUUCUUAUCUGUAACCAAACAUCAGGAAUUUCAAAUUUUAGACCUGAUGAUACUGGCUGUACAAAAUGUAGCAAUUGGAAUCUCACAUGUGAAAUGUAAUCUAAACUACCACACAGAAAUGGACUAAAUCAAGGUCUAGCAAGCUCCUGAAACAAAAUUCAACAAUUUAUAUGUUUGAGAAAUCAAAGAUGGUUUUGAGAAUACUUGAAUGCUGAAAUGCAUCCCGCAUGAUAUCCUCAUGCUAUUAGAUACCAAAGAGGCAUAAGCUUGGAUGGCAAAUACCAGGCAGAGUAACUGUCAUGCGUUAAUUUUGCGAAAAACCCCCCUGCAAAAAUAGAUAUAACAAGUGAGUUUCGUGUGUCAGUUUUACUGUCCAUGUGUAGUUUUACGUCUCUGUGCACAGGACGCGUCAUGACAAUGCAAGAUUACCCAGGACUACGAGAGAUUCAGCCGGCCGGUACCACCAUCUCAUAUAUGUGCUGGAUCUCCAGGUGAUAAUCUAUAUUAUCUUAGCUUAUAUUAUGCUUUACCAGGUAUUAGUUUCACAGAGCUAAUUGUGCUACUCUGAGUUGCAGGGAAAAAGAGAGAUGCCAAAUGCAAUGGCAUGGACCUUGCCCUUAUGCCCUCCCUCCCGGGUACCGGCUGCCGGUGCUUUAAAGAAGCCCAUGAACUUGAGUAGUAAGUUAAAAAUGACAGGAAGGCGGUCCUCCUGGGGCAGAUCGACCUGCCCGUCAUUGAUCAAUCAUGGCGGGUUUUCUUAUAUGGGCACGUUGAGCUCGACAACGUGAUACCCGCAGCGGACGAACUCCCUAGAUAGGAACAUUGUGCUACUUUGGAUGUAGCGUAAUAAUGUUACACGUGGCCGGCAUGGACGCAUCAAAGUCUAGCUACAUGCCGGUCAGGUGUCGACGCCGUCGCAUUUGUUGCGCGGUUAGUUUAGUUUCCGCAUACGUGCAUGUGAAGAGUGGGGGACACGAGACGAUGCGUGGGUUCGCGCGAUCACCAUCCACCGCGCGGCACGUUGGCUCCGGCCUCCUGUCGCUGAGAUCACCGUCCAGUCACGUCCCUCCGAUCCGGUGCCUCCCACCGCGCUGGUGCAAGCAUACCUGCUACCAAAUGCACACGACGUCACGACGGCAGCGUCUGUUAUCGAUCCCAGGCGAUGCAUGGCUCCAAACUUCCCAACUCCCACCACCUCCCAGGCCAAGCAGAGGCGCCGGACACGGUACACAGGCACACAGCGCUAGCUGCAAACGGAAGAAAAUUAGACGCAGGACUCCUGCAACCGAGUCCUGGUGCAGGACGGCCUCAGAUCACGACGCGUGGGCAGCCUUCCCGAUCGAACGCCCGCGCGAGGAGACGAGCCAGCGCUGAAGAAGAAAAAAAUAGAUGAGCCAGGAACGAGCCAGCAAGACGAGCCACCACGCUGAAGGAAAGCCACGAAGACGAGCUAGGAACGAGCGAGCCCCUCGCGCGCGUGCGGAAGACGAGCCGGUGGAAGACGAGAUGGCGCUGACGAGCCCUUCUCUGAUUCGUUUCACGAACAACAUCCGGGGCCUUCCAUAAUCUCAGGACGAAGACGACGACCCGGCCGUGGUGCUCGACACCUCCGGGACGGCGGGGUUGUUCAGCAGCUGGUGAUCGCAGGAUCGCGGGCCCGCAGGCGUCGUCGGGCGACGCGUAGAGGCCGUCGUCGGUGCCGUGCUGCCGGGCGACGCGUAGAGGCGUGUCCGCGGUGCCGGUCUGCGGCUCCCCAGCGACGGCGGCGGCCUAGAUGCGCUCGACGAGGCAGGACUUCCAUCCAGAGGUAGCGCAUGAGGUCCUUGAACUGCGCCUCGAUUUUCUACUCACGGAAUCACCGCAUGCAGGAGCUAUCGUCUUCCGUAUUAUCGCUGCCUAGGGUUUGAGCUGUCGCGCGUGCAGAAUCAAGUGGCGGCGACCUUGCGAUCCAUAUGGCGCCAUCGGGUCUGGAGGUGGAGUCGUUGGAGCAUGACCUCCUGGGCAGCGGUGACGGAGCGAGCGACAGUAACGGUGAUUAGGGGCGGAUGAGGUAAUCGUAAGGAACGUGAAUAAUAAAUUGAAGUGAUAGUAUAAUAAUAUGUAUUGUUGUAAGGCACCUUUAAUUCUCGACUCAUUGUACAACAGGUGGUUGAUGAAGUUGCGAAAAAUUAUUUCAUCGUUCCUGAAGUUGGAAUGUCUUUUCAAUCUGAGGAGGAAGCUUAUGAUAUGUACAACACCUAUGCAGGCAAGGUUGGGUUCAGUAUUAGAAAGAGCGACACAAAGCGUCGAAGAGAUGGCAGUAUCUAUCUCAAAUAUAUAGUUUGCAGUAGUCAAGGUCAUCGACAAAUUGAGUCAUCAAAGGACACUACAAGGACAGGUUGUGAUUCUCGUAUUCAGUUUAGUGUUAGCAAGGAGGGGGUUUGGUCAGUGCAGAAGGUUGUGUUUGAUCAGAACUAUUACCUUGCAAGUCCAAAUAAAAGACAGAAGCUUAGGUCCCAACGACGUGUUCAAGAAGCGGACAAGAAGCUAAUUGGCCAGAUGAAGGAGGGCGGGAUGAAACCAGCCCAAGUGUUUGAGUUUAUGGUCAAUUUUAUGGAGGAGCCGACAAAGUGCCAUUCUCACGGAUUGAUUGUAACAAUGAGAUUGGUCGGCAGCGCAGAAAAUACUUAGAAUCCAAUGACGCACAAACAUUGUUGGAAUACUUAAAAAAUAAGCAGAUAGAGGAUCCAACAUUUUUUUAUGCCAUUCAAAUAGAUGAAGAAGAUGGCAGGAUGGCUAACUUCUUUUGGGCGGACGGUCAAUCUAUCAUGAAUUACACAUGUUUUGGUGAUGCCGUGUCUUUUGACACCACGUUUCAGACUAAUAAGUUUGAAAUGCCUUUUGCUCCGCUCCUGGGAACCAACCAUUACAAGCAGACUAUAAUUUUUGGGUUUGCAUUAUUGUUUAAUGAGACUAUUGAAUCAUUUGUUUGUCUAUUUGAAACCUUUUUAACAGCUGUCAGGUAAGCAUCCCAACACAAUUUUCACUGAUCAAGAUGCGGCCAUAGCAGGUGCAAUUGCUUAUGUAUUCCUAAACACAAGUCAUCAUCUUUGUUUGUGGCAUAUUUAUCUAAAUGCUGCUAAACAUCUUGGUCAUGUAAUCCAGCAGCAUCCAGAGAAUUUUCUUCCUGAUUUUAAGGGAUGUGUCUAUGAAGAUAGAUCUGAGUUUUACUUUAACAAGAAGUGGGAUGAAUUGUUGUGUGAGUACAACCUUAAGGACAAUGAAUGGAUGUUAAACCUAUAUGAUUUGAGGACAAAGUGGGCUGCUGUGUAUACCGUGACUCAUUUACAGCUGAUAUGAACUCCACUCAAAGAAGCGAAGGUAUGAAUAACGUAUUCAAGAAAAUGUUUCUUAGGAAAUUGUGUAUUUCGGAACUACUUGAAGAAUGUGACAAGGUUUUUGUUAGUCUUCGUAAUAACGAGUUGGAUGAAGAUUUUCAAUCACGUCGAAAGAGUCUAGUUGCACACAUACCUCUUUUGAAGACUGCGGUCGAGUCAUAUACAAGCCGAAUGUAAAAGAGUUUCAGGAAGAAUUUAAUGAACAAUUUUCAUUCUCUUGUAAGUUGUUACACACUGAGGGGUCGAUUUUGACAUAUACGGUUACACAUAUGUACUAUGAUUAUGGAGCAACGGUUGUGUUCAACAAAGUAGAUAUUACCAUUACAUGUGCUUGCAGAAAAUACGAAUCCAUAGGUACAUACAAAAAUCUUUAUUGCAAUAGUAUAGUUUAUAAUACAAAGUAAUGAAAUAUGAUAUCCACAUAUAGGUUUACUGUGCAAGCAUGCCCUCAAAGUCUUCAAUGCAAACAAUAUUUUCUUGUUGCCAUCUCAAUACAUAUUGAAUAGAUUGAAAAAAUAUGCAAAGAAAAGAUUCUAUAUUGAGAAACAAGAAUUUGAAAAGGAAAGCUUGAAAACGCAUGCUGCACGUAUUGCACGAAAGGCGACAUCCAUUGCAUUGAAGUGUUCACUAUCCAAGGAACUUCUUGUUGAUUUGGAGAAUGCCAUAGAUAAGUUGGACUUGGAAGCAGAUAAUUCUCUAAGCAGGAUGCAACAAAAAGCCAGUGAGGUCCCUCUAGUUUCAACAAACUGUGUUAUAGAUACAUUAAGAGGUAAAAUAUCAUUUAGAAUUCCUCGGGUGAUAAAAGGCCCAAAGAGUAAGCGAGGGACCAUCUCCCUUGAAAAGAAUAAAGGGAAGAAAAAGAAAAGUGGUAAAAAGCAAGGUACUACUCAUAUCAAUUCUACAUGUUUUUAUCUAUUAUAUGCCAAUAUAGUUAAAUUGAUAUGUUUGAAUAUAGGACAAGAUUCAACAACUGCAGUAGAAAAUAGAUCCGAAGUAUACGAAGGUGCUAAUCUAAAUCAAUUUAUCGUAAGUCAUAUGUGUUGGACUAAGUCCACUUUUCAUAUUUGAAUUCCUUAUAUGCAACUAUUUAUCGUAAGUCAUAUGUGUUGGACUAUAUCCACUUUUCAUAUUUGAUUUGGUACAGGAUUUUAAUGAUGGUGAAAAGGAUGUUAACAGUAUGGUGCCAAACUCUGCAAAUGAUGUGCAUGGACAAUCUUCGUCCAUGGUUGCUCCAUUGAUCCAAGGUAGCUAUGCUAAUGCCAUAAUACCACAAUUUAAUAUGUACAGAGAUUCUUCAACCGUGGGUGCUCCUUAUAUGCAAGGAGGAUAUACAAAUCUCUUACUUGGAGUUGAUCGAGCUGCCACAUUACAGCCGGCUGUUAAAAAGUUAAUUUUUGGUGGAAUGCCAAAUCAAGAAAGUAUGUAACCUUUGUUGUGUUACCCAUAAUUUUAUUUGGAUCUGUAUUAUAUCAGUUGGUACCAUGUAACUCAUUUAUAUUGUUCGAUAAGGAUCACAUCACCCUUUAUGGACCUGUCAUUUUUUUUUACAUAUCACUUCCACGUACCACUCUUUAGAUUUAAACUUUUUCAGAUUAUGAAAUAUCCCAAAUUUUGUUUGUGAAACGAAUCAGAGAAGCUGUGGCAACAGAUUCUGUAACCCUUCGUUCUGGAGCCAUGAGGCGAGAGGAGCUCCUGCAGGCGCAGAGAAGCCCUGCUAAGCGUCGGCUCGUCUUCCGCCGGCUCGAGAGGCACGCACGCGAGGGGCUCGUCUUCCUAGCUCGUUUAUUUUUUCUUCUUCAGCGCUGGCUCAUCUUCCGCGCGAGGGGCGCGGGCGUUCAAUCGGGAAGGCCGCCCACGCAUCAUGAUCUGGGGCCGUCCUGCACCAGGACUCGGUUGUAGGAGUCCUGCGUCUAAUUUUUUUCCGCUGCAAACGACUCUUCCGCGAGGACUAGUGCGUCGCUCAGCUCCAUCCCUUGACGCGGUACUCGAUCGGUGAGCCGGUUCGUGAGAUCAACUUCGCCGACCUACCCAACAAGCGAGGACUUAGAACUCGCCUAGCGACGUGAUAUCGGAUUUUGUUGCACCUAGUUGUCUUUUUGGUCAAUGGUCAAUUGCUUGCGUGACCCUGCGCGUCUCUCUUCUUACUUUCUUGACUACUUUCUAUCUUAUGAGCCAUUGAAUGAGGUCAGUUCGUUGAACGUCGCAGCGACCUGCUGGCUGGAGUGGGAUCAUCAUUUGAUGGAUUCAUAGAUGGCCACGGAUUGAAGCAGGGAGUACGUUACACGAAGUCUACACGAACCUCGGUCGUCUUCCCGUGUGACGCAUCUACGACAAUGACAUCAGAGAGAAAGUUUGGUUCGCGUGUCUACUCACUUGUGAAAAGGAUGCGAGGCGACGAUCACUUCGAUCCCCUCGAUCUCUUUAUCGCACAUUGAACGUACCGUUAAAUUUGAAGUGCUAGUACCUAUCCCAACAACUUCGUUUCUUGUUCCUGCGACGAUCGAUCUCCUCCGCGACUCGGAACUCCAAGCGUUGGUCAGGCUCAUCUUUCUGUAGUCUGUACAGAUGUAGUACACGGUACUACACCACCCAUCUUUUCACAUCCUACUAGUAGGCAGUAGCACUAUAUAUACACUGAGAUGCACAUACACUACUGCUCCCAGUCCUAGGCAACCCCGUUCGUCCAGCUACUGCAAACAUGAGUGCAAUCAUGUUCGACUCCCGUAGUUUCACGCAUCAGUUCAAGCUCAACUACGAGAAGACGAAGAACGUCGCCAUCGGGCAAGCCGUCAGCUCCGAGGAGAUCUCCGCUGGGGGGAAUCGGCACCCUGAAGCUUGACGGCUAGCUAGCACUUCCAUUGCAUAUUUGCAUUGGUGGUUAGUAGUUAGAUAGAAGAAGCUUUGUUUAGUUGAUCGUGCAGUUGGAGACUCCAAUUGGCGUGAUUUAUUUCGUGAAGCUUCACUCGGUCACCUCGUCUCUUCAAGAUCAGAUCACUGCCCAGUUUUGCUAAAAGUUGCUAAAGAGGUCUGGAGGCCCCCAAACAAGCCGUACCAUCGAUAUGAGAUAAUGUGGGAGAGACAUCAUGCAUUGCCAGAAAUAAUUCGCGAGGCUUGGGAAAAAACAGCUCAGGGAAAUGAUCUUGGGGAUAUUGCUGAAACAUUGAGGAAUGUUAUGGGUAAAUUGAAGAGAUGGAGUUGGGAGAAUUUUGGUGCAGUCACUAGAGAAAUUACCUCUUUACGUGCUCAGAUCGAGGUACUGAAGGCAAGCAAUGGGCCAGGUGAAGAAGUGGAAUUAAGGAAAGCAAUGAUACGUAUGGAUGAACUGUUGUAUAGAGAAGAGAUGAUGUGGCUACAGAGAUCUAGAAUUUCUUGGUUGAGGGAGAGGGAGAUCGAAACACAAAAUUUUUUCAUAGUAAAGCUGUCUGGCGUAGUAGGAAAAACAAAAUUAAAAAACUUAGAAGAGUGGAUGGAUCCUGGUGUAACCAUCAGAAUGAGAUGGAGGAGAUGGCGUCCAAGUAUUUUGAAAAUUUAUUCACAAAGGAUGGCCACAUCCAACCAAGCAUGCUGUUGGACCAAGUGGAAUCUAAGGUAACACAAGAAAUGAAUACAGCUCUAUGCAGGAACUUCACUGAUGAGGAGAUAGAGAAGGCUAUUUUCCAAAUUGGUCCACUAAAGGCACCCGGGCCAAAUGGUUUUCCUGCUAUGUUCUUUCAAAAUAAUUGGGAGGUCUUAAAGAAGGAUGUGGUGGCUGCAAUAAAAGUGUUUUUGAUACCUGUAAAAUGCCUGAAGGUGUGAAUGAGGCAGCAAUAGUACUAAUUCCAAAGGUGGAUAAUCCAACAGAAUUGAAAGAUUUUCGUCCAAUUAGCCUAUGUAAUGUCAUAUACAAAGUUGUCUCUAAAUGCCUAGUAAACAGAUUGCGGCCUUUCUUGAAUGUCCUGAUUGAACAAGAGCAGAGUGCCUUUGUGCCAGGAAGAAUGAUUACUGAUAAUGCGCUGAUCGCCUUUGAGUGCAUUCAUGCAAUGCAAACAGGUAACAGGUAUGCUCAAUCUUUCUGUGCUUACAAGCUGGAUCUUUCUAAAGCCUAUGAUAGAGUGGACUGGGUGUUCUUGGAAGGUAUGUUAAGACAGCUGGGUUUCUCAAAACAAUGGAUUUCUUGGAUAAUGGAGUGUGUUACCUCAGUGAAAUAUUCUGUUAAAUUCAAGGGAUCUUACAGAGAUCAUUUAAACCAUCACGUGGCCUUCGGCAAGGGGAUCCUCUCUCUCCCUUCUUAUUUCUGUUUGUGGCAGAUGGCCUGUCCUUGUUAAUGAAAAGAGCUGUUGAAGCCCGCCAAUUACAAGCUAUUUCCAUUUGUCGUCAGGCUCCUCGUAUCUCUCAUUUGCUUUUUGCUGAUGAUACUUUGUUACUGUUCAGAGCAACUGGUGAACAGGCCAGAAAAAUCAAGGAGGUGUUAUGAAUCAAGUACCGGUCAACUAAUCAAUCCUGAAAAGUGCUCGAUAAUGUUUGGAGUGGCAUGGCCUCAGGAUGCCAUGGGCAGUGUCUGUGGCGAGCUGCAAGUUCAUAAUGUAGCAGGUGAGGCUAAAUACCUGGGCCUGCCUACACCUGAGGGGCGUAUGAAGAAAGGUCGUUUCCAACCACUUCAAAAUCGGUUUGGAAAAGCAUGAAUGACUGGAGCGAACGUAACAUGUCUCAAGCUGGAAAGGAGAUCCUAAUUAAGUCUGUAGCUCAAACCUUGCCAACAUAUAUUAUGGGAGUUUAAAAUGCCCCUUGUUGACGCCCAAAAGUGGCACGGCCCGAGAUACAUGAGGCUAAGAUCAAAAUUGAUUGGCACUAACUCUUGAUAUUUUGCAAGUUUGACUUGAAUAUGAAUUGUGCAGGACAAAAGGGUCGUUUUGGAUGCUCUGGACGUAAUUGUGCUAAAAAGGACGAAUCAACACUUGGAAUGACACCAAAAAUAGCAGAUAUGGCUGAUAUGACAGAGCCAUCCUGACCGACCUACUGAAGCGGUCUGACCAGUUAUUGGUCUUGUGGCUGAUCCGACAAUCCAGACCGGUCACCCAACAGGUCAGACCGGUCAGAUUAAAGUGCUCAAAAUAUAGAUUGGAUAUCACCAUUGCGUAGAUCUCGUCGAGAUGAUCGAAAUGCAUAUGUGGAACGCCUAAUUUGGAGUCCGGAUGAGAGAUUUAUAGCUUCGACAAGAUUCAGCCCUGGGCUGACUGGUUAGACUGGUUUGGAUGGGCGGUCUGACCGGUCUACCCAGCCCUGGGCUGACUGGUCAGACUGGUUUGGAUGGGCGGUCUGACCGGUCUACCCAGUCUAGUCCGAGCUAGGAGUUGUAUUUUGACACGGGAUUUAUGUAAUCUUCGACUCCUACUGGGGCAAGACCUCCCCACCCUAUAAAUAUAAAGGGCAACGGCCGAUUGAGGGAUCCCAAUCGAAUCAAUCUACAAUUUACUUUUAUCUUCUCAACCCUAAUACUUUUCCAACCUCUAUGCUAUUCAUCUACUGUUCUCCACGACCAUAGAUGGCGUUCUAGGCUUGCUGGUCGACCUAGAGCACGCCUUUGCUAGUUUGCUCAUAAACUAGUCAUUCUUCGCCACAUAAGUGCGUUGGUUAUCCCUUUGCUGGUUUGCUCGUAAACCUAGCCGUCCUCCACCAUGUAAGUGUGGUCUUUACCUCCUCGAACGACUGAUCCGGGCCAAACCUCAGGAGACCGAUUUGACCAGGUUGCUGGACCGGUCUGACCGGCCUGUGCAGCAUCUCUGCCAUUCGGUCCGUUCGCGACCCGUGCGAUAUAGUGCACUCGUGUGUUAGCCGAAAAAGGCGUCAACACUCCUCACUCUUUGUGAUGACUUUAUGCAAAUUAUAAGGAAUUAUUGAUGGGGUGCAUAGAAUGGUCGAAGGAAGACACAUUGGUGUUCUUGGGAGACAAUGCUACAACCAAAGAGUAAUGGUGGAUUGGACUUUCGGGACUUGCGUCUUUUUAACCGAGCUUUGCUAGCUCAACAGGGCCUGGAUAGUUUAUGUGCAAAGGUCAAAUAUUACCCGAGGGAAAAUUUGUAUCCAGGCUAAAUAUUACCUGAGGGAAAUUUGUUGGAUACAGUAUUUGGUGGCAAUAUUUCAGCCACAAGGCGUUCCAUUAUGUAUGGACCGGAGCUGGAAAAAAAAAGAAUUCUACAAAGAAUUGGAAAUGGCAGUAGUAUUCAGAUUUGGCGAGAUAAUUGGAUUCCUAGAGAAGUUUCUUUGAAAGUGGUAACAAAAUGCAGAAGGCCAAGAAUCAGGUGGGUCUCUAACUUAUUUGAGAAUAAACAUAGAGAUCGGAACUGCGGCCUUACUAGAAGUAUUUUUCUACCAGUGGAUGCUGAUGCUAUUCUAAAGAUAAGGAUUCCCACUAAUGAAACACGAGAUCAAAUUGCUUAGCAUUUUGAGGAAUCAGGGUUAUUCUCAACAAGGUUUGCAUAUAAAUUGGCUCCGAGGAUGCAACGUCAAGACCAGAUAGCAUUGAGUACAGAACCAAAGAGGAGGGAGAAGCUAUGGAGCAAUAUCUGGAAGGAUGUGCCACCAAAAGUACAUAUGUUUGCAUGGAGACUUGCCUCAAAUGCUCUUGCAUCGAACACUAAUAAGAAGGCGAGGCAUAUUAUUGAGGAUGAUACCUGCACAAUCACUACAAGAAAUCUUCCGACUAGUAACGAACCAAAGAAUGUCAUAAACACAUUUUUUCAUCAUAAACCAUGAUUUAUGAUGCAGGAGUGACGAAAACUCUUCGUCAUUCGUUGAGCGUCAUAAACUGCGACUAGUGAUAUUCCUUAUUUUGGUGUGUCACUAAGGUUAUGACGAAUGAAAAUUCAUCCCACAAGUCAUCAUAAAACUAUUUCCGAGGUUGCGCCACGUUAGACAAGAAUCCAAUGUGGCUCCGACAUGUUAGCUGUGUUAUGACGAUUCUGGUACGUCACAAAUUGAAGCCCGGUUCAUGUAAGAGCUUUUUUAGCCCAAAUUUUAUUGGGCCAUUUGUAGCCCAAAUGAGGUUUCCAUGCAAUAUUUUUUUAUGAAAAAAAUUGUUGCAGGCCAUAUUGGGCCAAAAAUUUUUGUGUGUCAGGCCCAUGUAACAAAUAUUAAUUAAUUUAAAAUCCAACUAGAUUAAUCUAAAGAAUUAUUGCAUUCUUAUUGCUGACUGCAUACAAUUUUGACGCCAAUUUCAUAUAUACACAUACUAUCCAUUUUUGGCUCGACCUAAUUUACAUGGCAACAGUGGCCCAAUUAGCACCCCAUCUGUUUGGUCUAGAACAAGUAAAAUUUACAUACACACAAAUGAGGAAGCACAAAGUUGCACCGAAUGCAUCUUUCAAAGGGAUUUGCACAAGAACAGCAGCAGUAGCAGGUAUCAACAAUCAAAUUCUUCACCAUGAACUAGACUUCUGAUAAUCAUGCUUCAUCAUUUUAUACGCUGUAAAAGAAAUAAACUGGUGCAUGAAACAUGAGACAUUAACUCUGCAAAAGUGACACUUGACUCUUUAAAUAAACUAAAAGUAAACUAACAAUGUUUAUGGUUGUAGGUGCAGCCCUACGUAAUAAGACCACAAGCAACGGCUUUGCUUACAUUUCUUAUUUACUUCCAUCUUCUCAAGAAUUUCUAGCAGCCUUGCAGUUAGGGAUGGCAAUCGGGUGGAUCUGGACCUGAGACCCGUGGGUUUCAGAUGGGGGCGGGUCUGGAAUUCCCCUCACGGGUCUCGGGUUCAGGAACCCAGGGCGGGUACGGGACCGGGUUAUGGAUUCCCCCGUCCCACGAAGCACGAAGCGGCUGCUGGCCUGCUCCCACUCCAUCUCUCACCUGCCGAUCUGGCCCAUCAGACCUUCUACUACCACAGCUCCCGACUCACCCCCUCCAUCUCUCAUCUGCUCGUGCUACCUCUUCUCCAUCUCUCACCCGUCACCCAUGCACCUAGAGGCGUUGACGACCAGUGCGCCGUCGCACCCCCGCGUGGCUGGCCCUAUCCCUAGUGGCAGCGGCGGCCAGCCCCCCUGCGCGGCCGCCCUACGACCAAGACGGGGCCAUGGACGGUGGCGGCGGCGGAUCUCCUCCUACCUGGCGGCACCACGCCUCUGCCGCGCCGUCCCCCCUCUCUCUCCCCGCGCCGCCGGCCGCUCCCUCCCUCUCUCUCCACGCCGCCCCCUCCUUCUCUCCCCGCGCCGCCGGCCAGGAGGAGGGUGCGGUGGCGCUGGUAGAGGUGAGGGGCGGCAGCGGUGCUGGCAGAGGUGAGGGGCUCGGGUUUCGGGGUCUCCGUCGGGUUUCGGGGCCCCGCGGGGUUUGGGGAUGGGUGCACAUUUUCACCCGAAAUGAGAUUCAGGGCCGGAUCAGGUUUUAUUCUCGGGUUUCGGGAACAGGUUCACGGAAGUUCCACCCAACCCCGACCCGUCCCGUUGCCAUCGCUACUUGCAGUGAAUUCGUCAACCUGCCUUAUCCUGAAAUUAGGAAAUGACAGAUUUCUGUUGAUACGACUCCUUAUAAGCUUAUCAAAAAAAGAAAUCAUUGUACAGCUAGGCAAAUCAAAAAUAGGCUAGCCGCUCAAUAAUGUUUAACAGUCUAACAGAGGAGUAUAAAUAAACUACUGAAAGGUAGUAGGCACAGCUCGAGCAUCAUGCAGACAAGCCAUCCACCUUGUUGGAUGGCAUUAGUGACCAAUGUAGAAGAGAAGUAGUAAAUAACAGAGCAAAAGACUAUGGCAAGGAAAAAGUUCCAUUCCUUGACAAUAUGAGGCCUACAACAAAGUCCAAUGGUCCUAGUUUAAAUAUUGUACUUCAUAUGGGUAGAUCAAUUGAAUGUUUUAGAUUUAAAACCACAUGUCAAGAUGUAACAUUUACCUCCCAAAUGGUGACACAGGUUGAAUGUCUCACAGCUCUACAAGUCUCUGUUCAGUACCUAGGUGGUCAUGUAACUUUGGGUCGAGCACCUGAAUAAUAGAAGCAAGAUGCUGAAGCUGGUUUGGUAUCCAGAGUGUUAAAAUAUUUAGAUCAGAGCACAGAGCAGGGAGCACGUGAAGCAAUAUUCAGAUCAGAGUAGACAGACAUGUAAAUCCUAGAUUGAUACAUGUAUGCUCUAUUUAUGAUAUCAUUUGGUCAAGCUAUCAGGUUAACAUUUCAAUACACCAUCAUCUCUAUUAGAAGUUCAUGUCCAACAAGGUUAAAUAACAUUUGGUCAAUAUUAUUCUUUUUGUGCAGUACAAUCUUUUACCUCACAAAGGAAACAGAAGGUUGCACCCUCUUGAUGCUACCUGAAAGCAUUACAUGCACGCUACUACUGAUUUUUUUUACAGAAAAUAGAAUAACUAAAGGUCCAACUGCACACUUGUGUUUGAUGUGUUGAAAUAAAAAUGGCUAUUAUUCUACUACCAGAUUGAAGGAUUUAAAUUCAUAAACAAAUUUUAUUGUAGCAUGGAUUACUGACAGAUUUUUAAAUCCAGGUAAUAAUAAACAAGGCAACCAUACACAACAAAUUGAUCUAACAUCUUAUUUCCCACAUGCUUGUUCAUAGAACAUUCAGUCAAAUAUGCAAUUCAGACUUUGCCAAGAAUGUGCCAGAACUCAAUGAUUAAAUGGUAAUUUUCAGAUAUACCUUGGUGCUUUUCUCCUGCCUAGUCAAAGUUGAUAGGUGGUGGUUUUAACAUGCAGUAGAUGAGCUGAGGGGAUGAGAAGGGACAGAACGGACAUUGCGGCUGUCUAGUGCGUGUCCAUGCUCCCUUGUGCUGCAGUAAUGCCUCUGCCAGCUGCGAUACGUCCACAUCCAUUUCCCUUAGCCAUAACUCCACGCAACAAAAGUCCUCCCUUUCCUAUGCGCAAACAAAGAGCCCAAUCCACAUUCAACCACAGCGAAUAAAACAACCCACAAACAAUAUAAGGAAUCAGGAGCAAAAUCGAAUGGAAAAACAUUCUUGUUCACCUGGUUUCGAUGGAGCCGCCUGCUGCAUCCCCAAGAGCCGCCGCGUGGCAUGGGGUGAUGCGCGUGAUCCGUACCAGCGAAGGCAAGCAACAGGUGGUUGUUGACGUUCGUUAUUGACACACUUUUAGUACUAUUUAAUCAGUGUUUUCAUUCUUAAUCUUAUAUUGACCCGCCCCUUGGCACCUAAAAUAACUCCAUUAUUACAUAUUAUUGUAUUUUAGAUUAUAUUGCAUUAUGACAGGAAAUACGACAUAAUCAAGGGGGUUUGCAUAAAGAACUUAAUGGAUAACAUGGGUCGUCGAGAGAAGCCAACACGAGGAAGGAGAGGACUAAAAGGACCAUGAAGGGAUCGGCCAAGGACCCUCUGGGCCCAUCAGCCUGACCCAUUCCAGGGUCCAGUCGACCUUCCGUUUCUUCAGCGUGAAGUCUACGAUAAUGUCUAGGGUUUUUUCACCAACAUUGACCCAGAGCCGCUGCCUACGGGGAACUAUAAAUACCCCUUCAUGAACUUCAAGGAAGAGAAAGGGGGAAAGAGAGAGGAGAAAACACCACGUAAACACCAUCUAUCACCGCCACAAUGAGGAAAAACGGAGAAAAGAUUGGAUCUAGAAGAAGCCACGCGAAGCGAAGCACCAGAGCAGGGAGAAACCUCCCAAACCGAUCAGCUUGGAGGUGCCCAGUUCUUUCAUGCAUGGUGAUUACAUCUACAAGUGAUCCUAGAUUCCUAAGACAAGCGUUUUAUCUAUCUUGUUUACAUUCAUACUCUCUAUCUGUUUUAAUCUAAGUCACUAGUUUGUUAGAUCAAUCUUAUCAUAUAAAAAAACCUUCGGUUACAUAGAUUAGUGCUUAGUUAAGCGUGCAAAUCCACUUAUUCCACAGAUUGAUAAACCUUGGAGGGAAGAGUUACCACUGAUUCAUACGCUUGCGGUUCAUAAAUUGAUGUGCUAACUGCCAUCAACAAGCUUUUCUGGCGCCGUUGCUGGGUAACAACUCAGUUUUGCUAUGUUUAACUUUGUAUUAAUUUUUGUUAACCCCUAACAUCUAACUUUUUCUCUAGAAAAGAAAACCUUUAUUUUUGUUUUUGGUGUCUAGAUGGCUCUAAUAAAUCACUACAAGGAGGAAGGAGAAAAUUCGCUAAGGGACUAUGCAAUGCCAUUAACCGAUCAAUUCGAUAUGUAGAAAUCCGACUCAGUGCUUGCAGCCAAGGAGUACAUCAUGGAUAAAGGAAUAAUUGACAUAGCUGGAAGACAUCCUUUCCAAGGAGUGGAGACUGAUAAUCCAUAUAGACACAUUGAGUGAUUCACGAUGCUAUGCAACACGCUACAACAAGGAAUUCCGCCAACUUGGUUCAAGUGGAAUCUAUUCCUGUUUUCACUUGAAGGUGAAGCGAGAUGAUGGUAUGCAAAAGCUUCUUUCGACACGAAGGGGAAUUGGGAGACACUGAUGAUAAAGUUUUAUGAGAGAUUUUUCUCUAUUAGCAAACUUUAGAACCUUCGGAAGGAAGUUAUCAUGUUUGUGCAAGAAGAAGAUGAAGGAAUAGAUCAAGCUAGUCAGAUUCAACGAACUACUCGAACAAGGACCUAAGCUUGGAUUUUCAGGUGAUGUGUUGUUGUAUACAUUUUAUUUUUCACUAACCCAAAAAUACCGGGAAUUUGUUCAAAUGUGUGCAGGAGGAGACCUUAUGAAAAAAGACACUUAGGGAGGUUGCUCAACUUCUACAAAAAAUCGGCGGAGGAGCAGCCGUAAACAGAGAAUGGGAUAAAUAUCAAUCUGGGGCAUGAGAGGAAGGAAAUCAAGAACAUAUACUUGCUGGAAUUUUCAGAAAAGAACUCUAGAAAGAUGAGAAGGAAGACCUGUGGUGAAAAAAGAAGAAGAACCAGCACAGAUAAAGGAGAAACCUACCCGGUGCAUCAAAUACGACAAACCAAAAAUAUCAGCAGCUCGAAGCUUGGCCCUGCGGAAGUUUGAACAAAUGGAUUGGAUUCCUAUCGAUUUCAGCGAGAUAUUUGAUAAAUAUAGGCCAUAUCCAAAUCAAAAGGGGUCAACCAGUGCCAUAGAGAUGGAUUUUCCACUAGAGAGACACACUGGGUAUAUGCUUGACAAGGAAACAGUUGGAGAAAUCAUUCAAAAACUUUUCAGCGAAGAAGUAAACCCAGAAUAUGUUGUUGAAGUAAAGAGAGUCAUGGGAGUAAAACCUGAAGCAUCACCUUUCGCCAGCCUAGUGCAGAUAUACGCAAUUGGGAUCAAUAAAAACAAGGGAGUGUAUUUGCCUACACCGCAUAUUGACUGCAUGAUCAAUGGGAAGAUUAUCGACAAAGCACUCUGUGAUAUUGGAGCACAUAUAAGUGUCAUGUCUUCAAAACUUUAUGAUAAACUUUUUAGUAAGACUUUGCAACUUGCUCCAACACCAAUUAAAUUGAUCAUGGGAGAUGGUAGAACAACCGAACCUUUGGGUGUGCUUAGAGAUCUAAAAGUUGAUAUCUCAAAUAAAUCUAUACCAACUGAUUUCUUUGUUAUUGAUCCUUCCCAUGAUAAACAUGAUGAUAUAAUCCUUGGUAGACCUUUUCUUAAAUUGGUAAAUGCUAUGCUUGAUGCAGGAGAAGGCAAAGUAACAAUUAAUUUUGAUGGUGCUAGAAAUACUUACAAUUUUCUGCCUGCAUCUUGGAAAAAUUUGCAUCUAUCUCCUUGUAACGAGGAGGUAGAAAGGGUAUGCUUUGCUAAAAAUUUUAGGGAGUCUUUAUUAAGAGCAAUGGAAAAUAAUGAGGAUGACCAAAAUAACAAAUUGGGAGAAGAAACUAAAGUAUUGUCACCUCAAUAUGGAACUCUGGAGGAAGAAAAAUUCGAAGAUAUUGGAGAAUUGAUGCAACAAAAACCAGAAGCACCAGAUGUUGAGCAGAAGCCGUUACCCAAGGGAUUAAAAUAUGAAUAUUUUAGGAAUAACAAGACGUAUCCAGUCAUUGUUAGCGACGACUUAAGCAAAGAAGAAAUUGAGAAGUUGCUGAAUUUAUUGAGAAGACAUCAAAAAGUGCUUUGGUACACGAUCAAAGACUUAAAAGGAAUUGGUCCAGCCUUCUGCACUCAUCGGAUAUAGUUAGAAAAUCAACAUAAGCCAGUUGUGGAGGGACAGAGAAGACUAAGCCAUGCUAUGCACGAUGCAGGAAAGAAGGAGGUGAUCAAAUUGCUUAAUGCUGGGAUUAUUUAUCCAGUACCACACAGUGAAUAGGUGAGCCCAGUGUAUUGCGUACCUAAAAAAGGAGAACUUACUGUCGUAACAAAUGAGAAGAAUGACCUGACCCCUCAGAGGACGGUAACAGGGUGUUGGAUGUGUAUCGACUACUGGAAGCUGAAUAAGGCAACUAGGAAGGAUCACUUCCCUUUGCCUUUAAUUGAUGAAAUGCUUGAAAGGUUAUCAAAGCAUUCUCACUUUUGCUAUCUUGCUGGAUGUUCCGUGUUCUUUCAAAUUCCUAUACAAUCAGAUGAUCAGCAUAAGACCACGUUCACUUGUCCAUAUGGAACUUUCGCUUAUAGAAGGAUGCCUUUUGUAUUGUGCAAUGCACCUACAUCUUUUCAAUACUGCAUGAUGGCUAUAUUUUUAGAUUUCAUUGAAGAUACCAUCGAGGUAUUUAUGGAUGAUUUUUUAGUUCAUGGUACAAGUUUCGACAACUGUCUGGAAAAUCUUAAUAAAGUUCUUAAGCAAUAUAUAGAAGUUGAUCUAGUUCUAAACUUGGAGAAGUGCCACUUUAUGAUGAAACAAGGACUAGUAAUUGGGCAUGUCAUCUCAGAAAGAGGGAUAGAAGUUGAUAAAGCAAAAAUCAAAACUGUGGAAAAGUUGCCUCCGCCUAUAGAUAUAAGGUCAUUGAGAAGCUUUCUCGGACACAGGAUUUUAUAGGAGAUUCAUUAAGGAUUUUUCAAAGAUCACCAAACCAUUGACACAGCUCCUGCAAGAAGAUGUGAAUUUCGAGUUUGAUGAAGACUGCCUCUAAGCUUUCAGAACUUUAAAACAAUCGCUCAUUAGUGCGCCCAUCAUUCAACCUCCAGAUUGGAAUCUACCUUUCGAAAUAAUGUGCGUUGUAAGUAAUUAUGCUAUUGGGGCAGUCCUUGGAUAAAGAAAAGAAGGGAAGGUACGCGCAAUUUACUAUGCUAGCAAAACAUUAAAUGAGGCUCAAAUAAAUUAUGCAACUACGGAGAAAGAAUUGCUUGCGGUAGAGUUCACUUUUGAAAAAUUCAGAUCUUAUAUUGUGAACUCCAAGGUGAUUGUGUACACCGACCAAACUGCGCCUAAAGAUCUUUUGUUCAAGAAAGAUACUAAACCACGUCUGAUUUGCUGGAUAUUGCUGCUACAAGAAUUUGAUGUGGAUAUCAGAGAUAAACAGGGAUCAAAAAAUAUGGUGGCUGACCAUUUGUUGAGAAUGUAUCAACAAGAUGAUGAAAAAGAGCCUAUUGAAGAUCAAAUGAGGGAUGAUCAUCUAUAUAGAAUUCUCGACAAGGAUACUUGGAUGAAUGACAUUAUUAGAGCAAUAAAAAGAGCUCCCUUGAAUCACUUACACAGGAAUGAAAGGAGAAAAGUGGUUGCUGAAAGUAAGAAAUACUAUUGGUCUCCACCUUAGCUAUAUAGAUAUGGAGCCGAUGGAGUAUUAAGAAGAUGCAUCCCAAGGGAAGAAAGGGAAGCGGUACUUCAAAAAUGUCAUUCAUCUGAAUAUGGAGGACAUUAUGGAUAUUUCAAAACUCAAGCAAAAGUCUGGGCAAGAGGAUUUUAUUGGCCAGAGAUGCAUGAAGAUGCAAAGAUAUUCGUUGCUACUUGCCCGGAAUGCCAAAGAACAGGAAAUAUUUCAGCUAGAAAUUCUAUGUUGUUGAACUACAACUUGAAGGUGGAUUUCUUUGAUAUUUGGGGUAUAGAUUUCAUGGGAUCAUUCUUAAAGUCACAUGGAUUUGAUCACAUAUUGGUCAUGGUUGAUUACGUGUCUAAAUGGGUAGAAGCUAAUCCAUAUUGGAAGGCGUCAACAGAAGAAUCAAUUCACAUGAUCAAGACUAUAAUAUUUUCCAGGUAUGGAGUGCCAAGAAUUUUGAUCAGCAAUGGAGGAUCACAUUUCACAGGAAAAGAUUUUGGCAAAUAUCUAUCAAAAUUGGGGAUUGAACAUAGAGUAUCUAUAGCCUAUCAUCCUCAAAUGAAUGGACAAGCAAAAACUUCUAAUAAACAGUUGAAAGAUAUCCUGAAGAAGACAGUGAUCAAAUGAGGGAAGGAUUGGUCAAAAAAGUUAGAUGGAGCAUUAUGGGCAUACAGGAUGGCUCAAAACACCUAUAGGUAUGACCCAAUAUCAAUUCGUCUAUGGAAAAACAUGCCACCUUCCCGUCGAACUCGAACAUAAAGCUUAUUGGGCUAUAAAGGAGAUGAAUCUUGAUGUUGAUGCUGCAAGAGUAAAAAGAAGAAUUUAGAUCAGUGAAUUAGAAGAGACGAGGCUUAAAAGCUUACUACAGUGUAACCAUUUAUAAAGAAAGGAUAAAGAGGUGAUUCGAUAAAAGGCUUCGCAAGAAAGAAUUUCAAAGAAGGAGCAAAGUGCUACUGUUCAACUCUAGGUUCAAACUCUUCGAUAAAGGAAAAUUGAUGAGCAAGUGGGACGGACCAUAUGUGGUUUAUUCUAUAUCACCUACCCAAGUAGUAACGAUUAUGGGCAUCAAAGGAGAUCAAUAUGUUAUGAAUGGAUAGUGACUAAAGGUAUUCUUGUAACUUGACAUCGUGCCCAUCAAUUAUAUUGGCGUUUACACCAUAGAGGAAGAAUGGCCACGUCAAGCCUGAUGACACUAAAACAGGUACCUUGUACAUACUCUAUCUUACAUUAUAUUAUUUUCUUUUGAAUUUUUAUGUGGUACUCAAAUAUUGGAUAUAUUUUUAGACGUACGCGCUGCCACGAAAAAGCGAAGAGUAGAGGGACCAAAAACCCAUAGGCUGAUCAGCCCAGAGACCCCAGGGCGAUCGGCCUGGAAGGUUUUCACCUCCGAUUUAGUUCCCCCUUUCCCAUCUUUGGUAAUGACAGAACAUGGAAGUGAAUUUUUGCGGGAAGGAGCGAGGAAGUUUUUUGGAAAUGCAUGGAUCCUUGGCCAAGACUUCAAGAGUAUAUAAUGAGGUCAAUUGGAGCUCGAGUUUCACAUCUAUACAAGCAAUUCAGAUCCACCCAAAUCAGAAAAAAAGUGCAAUGGCAACAUCCAGGAGCUCGGGAGACAAGAGGGGGCACCAACUGGCGAAGGAGGAGGUCAUGCCGAUUGGCCUAACCUUCCCAGGCCGAUUGGCACCAGCCCCUCCCUUGGCCGCCACCUUCACCCUUCACAUGGAAGCUAAGAGGUGCAAGUUAGGUCCCCAAACUCUGCCAAGGACCGCUCGUAACGCUUGCAUCAGUGUUGGAGGCAAGGCGCCGUCAGGAAAGCUCGCAGAUCACAAGUUCAUCAUCCUCUCGAGUGAUGAUGAGGCACCGAUGAAGAAGAAGGAGGCCGUCAUCUCUCCCACAAUACGUUCAGUAAGGCUCCUCCGGAUCAAGCACAAGAGAUAUGUGGAGAAGACGCCCGAGUACUCACUGGCUCACUAUGGAGGUGAUAGCGAUUGGGAGGCCGAUAGGAGCCCUGGAUCGUGGGGUGCUGCAGGCCGUGAUGAUGAAGAAGAUGCCAACAUGUACUGCGAUUGGGCUAAUGAGAUGAAGAAAAGUAAGGAGGAAGAGGAACGUCGUAAAGACAAGAGCAAAGAAAAAGAUCUAGAAGACAAUGGGCUAGAACUGGAGGAGCAUGAUCGUAUGUGUUGUACCUCUUGCUGGAAGAACAUCCACUACCUCUUCGACACCGUCGAUACAUCAUACAGGCCUUGCAAGCUCUGGAUAAGAAGGUUGAAGACAGUGAUCGCCAUCAGGAAGAUGACUUCAAGUUCUUGCAAAGGAACGUGAGGAAGCUCUUCGGGAUGUGCGGCAAUAUGAGGAAGAACAGAGCUAAUUGGGAACGAAGCAACAACCGUCCCGUGUGCAAGCAGUGCGGCCAGCAUCACUAGUGCGUUUACAAGCGUCUCUCCCUUUGUACUUCAUUCGGUUAUGACGAGAAAGUCGUAGAUUUUAAGCGUGGGGGGAGAUCGCCGCUCGUAAGGAGUUUUUGAAUCUAGUUUGGUCGAGUCGAGUCAUGUCAGAGUCUAAAUUAGUUUUUUUAUUUCAAUCAAAAGUAGAUAAAGUAGUAGUCUUCUUAAGCUUCUUGGAAGACUUAGGCCUAGAUCGCUACUUUUGCGUCUUUCUGAGAAGAGGCAUGAAUAAAAUCGAGGAUUGUGCGAGUGUUUUUAGUGUCUACCUUGACUUGCUUCUCUUUUAUUUUGCUUUACAACUUUGGAUCAUGAGAUUUGUCUUGAAUUCUAAAUCUUAGUUGUAGAGUUUAGUAAUUGAUUUGUUUAUGCAAUAUCCAUGCUUUAUCAUGAUCAAGUGUUUUGGUUUGGAUUAUCCUUUAUGAGUAAGGUCUAAAUUGGAGGUGAUUUAAAAUUUUAUUGCUUAAAACCUUUGCAAAAACAAGAUUGAUCAAGUUCUUUAACCAGGUUGAGAGUUAUUAUUUAUCCUAGCCAAUGCCUAAAAGGAUUAGUUCGUACCACCAUAAGCAGAUUCGACGCUUUGAAUUGAGUUAGGAUAGCUCUCUCUUGGUCUGCUUUAAUUAUGAGCAUUGAUCUGUAUCUUUUACCAUCUCUGAUUUCUAACCUCAUCAAUAUUCAGCAAUGAGAGUUGUUUACUGGAACAAUAAUAUUUUCUAUUGCAUUCAUAAACCUGAACCAAAUAUUUCUUAAUUUUAUUACAUAUUCCUUGAACACAACCCAAUAUUCGAAGAUCUGUUCGGUUUCUGAUCGAGCUUUAUGAAAAAUAAGGAAAGGUACAAGAAAAGGAAGUUUCACCAGGAAGUUGAGCCAGAGUGGAGGAUAAGAGAGGCCAGGCCGAUCGGCCUGGGGUCUCCUUGCCUCAGUUUUCGCGCAGCAAGUUCUUGGAAGGCCUCUGGAAGGAUCUAAAACUAAUUUUUAUGAUGUGGUGUUCAUAGGAGGUUAGGAGAAGAGAUAAAGAAAGAAAUAAAGAAGGAAGGAAAGAAAGAAAAGUAUUGAGAAAGAGAAAAGAAAUAAUAGAAGAAAAAGAAAAAGAAAUAAAGGAGGAGUUUUUACUGUCAUAAAGAUCAAGAUAGGUUCAAACAAAAGAUGAACUUGUUUAUAGAACAGAUUUUCAUUCCAAUCAUGUGCAAUCCGAUGACGAGGACAUCGCUUGGGCCUGAGAGUCACUAUUUUAUUUGCAUUUGCACAUGUCCACCAUUCUAUAUCUUAUCAUCCUUGAAAACCUCACAUUAUGUGGAUAUUCUUAUGAUCAAUGGCUCAAAAGGUAGGCAACCACUAAAGAAUUUUCUUAAUUCGAUAAUAUAAGUAUUGAUUCCAUCUAGCCUUACCCAAGCUCCACCAUAUAAUUGAGUGAUUUUUAAGAGAUGAGAGCUUGCAUAUAAGUAGGAUAGCCACUAUUCAUUUGAAGGACAUGUAAGCACCUGGAAAAGAAUUCUUGUUUCAAUUUUGUUCCAGGGAGAUUGUUUUAUGCCGAAAGAAAAACCCUCCGAAGAAAGUCAGAAAGUAAGUGUAGUUGAUUCUUAAAGUUACUUGAUCUAAAUAAUAGCUGUGGGGAAUCUUUGCUUAGAUAAAUCUAUGAACACCCAUAUUUUGAUUAUAUUUUCUGCUCCUUGGAUCUUAUGUUUGAAGGCUAGGUACUUCAUUCACUUGCUCAGGUUUAGUUCAAGAUCUUUGUUCAACUCUGCUGGAGAAGUUUAUAGUCGGUUGACUUGCUCGAGGACGAGCAAGAGCUAAGCAUGGGGGGAUUGUUGACGCUCGUUAUUGACACACUUUUAGUGCUAUUUAACUAGUAUUUUCAUGCUUAAUCUUAUACUAACCCGCCACUUGGCACCUGAAAUAAUUCCAUUAUUGCGAAGCCAUUAUCUCUUGAUAUAUACUGCGAAGACAUUAUAUCCUGGUGAUUUUCAUUUGAGGGUGUUUUAGAGAGCAUUUUGGGGGUGGCUAUAGAUAAUCAACGUGAUAUUUAUCUCUUGAUAAUCAAAUUAUUUUGUGGUUUUCAUUCGAGGGUGGUUUAGAAAGCACCAAAUUGAUCUUUCACCGAAUAAAUUAUUACUGUUGUCAUGUUGGAGAUUGAAAAAUACGGAUUCCUUUCAUUGGCUCUGGAUAACCAUUUGUUCUGUCCAUUUUGCUCACUUCUAAGGCCCCAUUUGGUAGAGCUUCGGUGUGGCGGAUCCACUUCGGAUUAGCUUGAUUAAACAUGAUUAAGUCGCCUAAUAUGCGAGACUCAUGCCUUAGUCAAGUUAACAUGAAGUGCCGUCGGAUUUCAUCCGAUUUAACCACUCGAACAGGACCAAAUUAGCAAACUCACACGAAGGUGAGCGGUUCCAGAGAAUACAACAAGUCCACUGAGUUAACAAAUUAACCAUUUAGUUGGGCCAUAAAACACCAUCAGAGUUUACAAGGUUUGAAAUAAAACCACAGAAGAUAAAACAACAAGCGGAAGCUACUUCGUCGGGGUCGGACAUCCCUGGUGAGGCCAACCGGGACAUCAGUGAUCCCGCUCCUCGCCGUCCGAGGAGGGAUCCCACUCGACCGUCCAACCCGGAGGGAGUUGGGGCGGCCAAGUGCCAGCGGAAAGGGGCUCAGAAGCAGCAACUUCACCUGAAAAAGAAGAGCCACAACAAGGCUGAGCUACUAAGCUCAACAAGACUUAACCGACCGGGAGUAGACUACUCUACCACUUCUAGACAUGCAAGGCUCUUUGGCUGAGGGGGUUUGCUUGCCAAAAGCAACUACAGUGGGUCCUUGCUUUGAAGUUUUAGCUCAGGUUCCAAGUUCAUUAACCAGUCUAAGUUUGCAACCUACUUCGAAUCAAACAUAGAACCAACCAAAGGUAUAUACAUCAUCAUCAAGACCAUGUCAUUAUCAGAUUCCUUUACUUACUCAGGGUGACAUAGCGAUCAAGUAGUCUCAAACUGUGAGAGGCAGACGAAUCGAUUCGAGUUUCUUAACCAUGCAUGGCGAACCUAAUCUCACGACAUCCGCGUACCACAAGGGCCGCUUCCUGUGUCGGCCGUCCCCAUUAAUUCCCAUGCGCAUGUCAGGUCCAAACUUCCCUUGGCAUGCAAUGCUCCAUAGUCCCGGUCUCUAUCGUACUGUGACCGCACUUGCACCCACAUGAUGCACCAUGGGAACCUCGUUCCAGGGACAGCAGGGGUAUAAGCCACGCCCUAGUUCAAUUAGGUACUAGGCUUCCCCAUCCCAUACUAGGUAUGAGAUUAGUACUUUCAAACACUUGAUCACGAACACCACCACUGUCGGGCCUUAGCAAGUUUCAUAGACAGACGGGGCGAUCAGCCGACCACCAAAAAGUUACCCAAAACCCUGCCCCGUCCAUCGUCCUUAUAGUUGUAACAGAAGGGUAAACAUCCAACUCCUACAACUCGCGAGUGAUAGGGAAUCACUCGGCUUUUAUCGUUUCCUAUUUAAGCAAGCAUCUACUCGGUCCAACAGCUAGUGUUCAGAUCAAUGGAGCUAAGUUAUGCAUCUAUGGUUCCAAACAACUCCUAUACGAAAAUGCACAAACAUGUUAAAGAAGGCAUGCGCAAGUUUGGGAAACACAGGGGUUUCAUGCAUCCGGGGCUUGCCUUCAAGCGAGAAGGAAGGAAGCUGUUCUUCUGCUUGGGCGGCUUCGGCUUCUGGGGGCAGGAGCUCAGCUACACCGUCAUCUUCUGGCGCCGGGUGCAGCUCAUAGUAGCCGUCGGCGAGACGCAGCUCUACACGAAUGCAAUGCAUUAGUUAGCGUUUAGACGGUUAUUUCAAUAGCAACACUUGCAAGCCUGAGCCCAGAAACUUGCGACAAGUUACAGGAGGGUGGGGAGGUUCAAAGGAGUCGAUGGAGAUCAAGGUAUAAGGGUCAGGUGGGGAGGAACUUAUGAUCUGACCCUUAGACUAGAGGAAUAGAUGUGUUGGGGGGUCCUCAGACUUGACGCUGAGAGUCCCCGAGUUUUACACAUAUACCCUCGGUUCAAGGAAAAAGAUACAGCCGAGCCCUCGGGCGAGGCGGAGAAGGGUCAGCGGAACAGACAGGGGUCGGGCGGUCAGCAGGGGUCGGACGAACAGAAGGGGUUGGACGAACAAAAGGGGUCGAACGAGGCGGAAAAGGGUUGGACGAACAGAAGGGGUCGGACGAGGCGGACAAGGGUCGGACGAACAGAGGGGUCGGACGAGGCGGACAAGGGUCGGACGAACAGAAGGGGUCAGACGAGGCGGACAAUGGUCAGCAGCUUACCUUCGUUUCACAGGUGAAGUUUGGGGUCAGGAAAGGAGCAGACUUGAGCGGAAGGACUGAAGCACUAAGACUUGGGAGGGGGCGAUGUCCGGCGGUGCUCCGGCGGCGGCGGUGCUUCUUGUGGACAACAAGCAAGCUUUAGCACAGCACGGAGGGGCAAGCGGCUGGGUGGAUUGGGAAGGGCGGCCGGGGAGCGGAGAGGAGAGUUCCGCAGGAACUUAGGCGGUAGCGCUUUGAGCACGAAGCAGAGGAACGGCGGUAGAGCGGUGAUGGCGAAGGGGACUCCGGUGGGACUCUGGCAUUCCCUUUUAUAGCUGCGCAGCAGAGAGAAAGGGUUGGAGCAGCGCGAAGACCGGGAAGAACGAUGGAGUGCGCUGCUGGGGCGGUGAUUGAGCAACGAGAGCGGUGGAGCAGGACUUCGGGGAUGACACCGGCGGCCACUGGGCACCGAUGACAGGGCGGAGCAGGCGUGGUUUUGCCGGUGGUUGAGAUUUGGCGGAGGCGGGCGUCGUCGUGCGGUGGAUCUGAUGGAAGUGACCGGGGGGAACGGCGCUAGAAGCGAGGUUGCUCAGGUGAGAGGUCAGGCGGGCCGUUGCUGCACGGGCGAGCGCGAAGCAACACUCCGUCGGAGCGCAGCGCUGACAAGGAAGGAAAGGAGUUGUCGCGGCCAGGGCCGGGGUUGGCGGAGGAGGAAUCGUCGCGUAGCGCGGACCUGGGCGGCGCGACUGUGGAAGGGCUACGGAAAAGACGGGAGACCUCGGGCCUUGCAGCCGGGAUCUGGCGAUGUGAUGAUGGGCGCGGGCGGCGAGAUGCUGCAGAAAGGGUAGCAGGGGAGCUUCCGCCGCGAUUGGGGAAGGGGGCGCGAGAAUCCAUCCGGUCGCGGGCCGAAGACGAGGCGGAGCGGCGGGCGUCGGAAGAGUUGAGCCACGCGGCUGGGGAAAACUGAAGCGGGCAUGCAACUCGAGUGCGCCUGUCGCGGAAGAUCUGGGGAAAAAAGAUCUAGUGGGCUCACCGGUCAGUCUCGGUGGUCCACUGCUCGAACUGAGGGGCGAUGCUGCGGGAUGGCUUAGGAAGAUCCGACGGUGGGUUGGGGGUCGGCGGGGUCGGAAUUGGGGAGACCACGGCGAGGGGUCGGAUCGCAGGGGUCGAAAGAGCUGGAGGUUGAACACUUAGGCUUGGAAAAACUAAGACAGGUGAUCAGGGGCUCGGAUUAAGAUUGACGCGAAGGAUUUUUGUCCGAGGCCGUCACAUUCGGCUUCUCAUAAAAUGGCUUCGGCUUCGGCUUCUUCGGUGGAGUGGCUUUUUUAGUGAAGCCGGUGAAGCCACUUUUUUCGACUUCUCCUCUCUAGUGUAAGCCGUUUUGCGGCUUCUCCCCGGCUUUGAUGGUGAAGCCGUUUUGAAAUUGACCUUUUGGUAGGGCUUCACCAAAAGCCGGUGGAGAAGCACUUUGAGAAGCCCUACCAAACGGGACCUAAUUUUGUAUAUUAAUAUCAUGGAAAUAGUGGGUCAAGUGCUGUCAAGUAUGAACCUGUUUAAAUCGUUAGCAAUUUUGAUUAUGGCAUGGGCCUGAGUUUGUAGAACUUCCUGACUCUAGUCUAGCUCAAAGUUUUUGGUCAUGUUUAACUUGGGAUUUUGUACUGUUUGGCUGGCCAUGUUAGCUUAUUACUUCACCUGGGAGUGCGUUAUUGGUGUGUUACUGUAUCUGAGUGCUACAUGCAGAUCUCUGUCUAGUGUGAUUUCUUUAUCUCAUAUCUUUGUAUUAUAGCCCUACCAUCUUAAUUGUACUGUAUCUUUAUGCUACAUGACAUGUUGUUUGCAAGGCUAAUUUCCCAUCAUUAUUCUUGUGCAGCCAAGCUGGCGCAGGCCAAAGGGUAUUGACUCCCGUGUCAGGAGGAAGUUCAAGGGAUGCACCUUGAUGCCGUACAGCUCUGACAAGUCGACCAGGCACUACCUCCCCAACAAAUUCAUCAAGAAGUUUGUGGUGCACAAUGUUGUUGGGAUACGAGGUAGGCUACACUAGCGCAAAUCACAAAUUUCUACCGCGUAAAUCAGGAAAACUGCUGUAUAAGGAUCACGGGAUUACCACUUGACGUACUACUGGUGCGGAAGAUAUAGAUUCGCGUCGAUGCAGCAAAGUCGAUCAGCGUAGUCAUACGUAGUUGAUCACGUCGACGUCCAGCAGCUCCUCAGUAGCUCGUCCACGUGCAGCAAGAUCGCCCUCGUGCCGUGGCUCGUCGUCAACUCGUCGUGGCUCGUCGGCGGCUCGUCGUGGCUCGUCGGCGGCUCGUCCAAGUGCUGCAGGCGCAACACCUCCAAGGUAUCCACACGUGCAGGGAGGAAGCGUCGUAAUCCGGACUGCUAGAUCCGUGAGUUGCAACAGGCGAGGGCGUGGGAGGCGCGGCAGAUGUGUUUCGCCAAAAAGGUGUAAACCCUAGGGCGCCCCCACCCCUCUAUUUAUAGAGGUUCCUAACGGGCCUCUGGGUCCGAGGCCCAUUAGUACUUCUAAACCUAAUCAAACUCGGAUCACAUCCGAAUUGGGCUUCCAGCCCCUUAAGUGUGUGACCCUAUGGGUUCGGAUACGUAUAGACAUGGCCCGAGUACUCCUACUCAGCCCAAUAGUCGGUAGCGACCUCUAGCAAGACGUGCCAAUUCCUAUACGCACACGAAGAUCAUAUCAGAUGAACCAUCACAACAUUAUAUACAUGCUAUUUCCUUUGCCUCACGAUAUUUGGUCUAGCUUCAAGCCGACCGCUCUUUCUCAAUCCUAUGAUUCGGAAUCCCUUUGUAGGUUAACUCUUAACCAUACGUAGCAUGGCCAUGCAUUUUCGGAUCCGAUCACUCGAGGGGCCCAGAGAUAUCACUCUCAAUCAGAGAGGGGCAAAUCUCAUCUUGAUUGACCAUGUCUCAUAGCAUGCUUCUUGACAAACCCGAAAGCUACCUUUAUAACUACCCUGUUACGGCAUAGCGUUUGAUAGCCCCUAAGUAGGUCAAUCCACAUCUUGAAUACAUGCGACAAUCUCAGGUCUAAGGACAAAACGUAUAUGUUGUUUGAAGAGAGAACUACUUCUCAGUUGGGUCAGUCCUAGCACAUGUCUUCACAUGUGUCCACAUUAUUAGUUCAACAUCUCCAUGUCCAUGACUUGUGAAACAUAGUCAUCAACUAAUACAUGUGCUAGUCUAAUAUUCAUGUGUGUCCUCAUAUGAACUCCGACUAGGAACAACUUCAGAAUAACCAUACAAGUAAAGAGUUUCACACACAAUUCACAUAAUUGCAAAUCAAUUCAAGUAACCUUUAAUGGAUAUUUAAGGAACAUAAUAUAUAAAUCAUGGAUACAAAUGGAAUAUCAUCAUCUCUAUGAUUGCCUCUAGGGUAUACCUCCAACAAAUGUCUCUGAGCUGGAGUUGCUCAUGAUGCACAACAGGUAUGAAUUUACCAAAGCUGACUGUAGAAGUUAACAUGUUCUCAUUCUGACCUGUUUUCCUGUGUGAUCAAAACCUGUUUGUAGUAACUUUUACUGAUGCAAUGCCCUUCCCUUGCUCACAUACAGGACCUACUGUGCUGAGAUUGCCCACAAUGUCUCAACAAAGAAGCGCAAGGAGAUUGUUGAGCGUGCUGCUCAGCUUGACAUCGUGGUCACCAACAAGCUCGCCAGGCUCCGCAGCCAGGAGGACGAGUAGGCUGCUUGCUCGUCAGGACGACUGUUGCUUGUCUUUCUCAGCUUUAGGAAACUACUCUGCUUUGUGUCGGUGUUACUACCGAGGAUACCUGUUAUGCCAACCCUUCUGCCUAUCAGGAGCGACUCUAGUGUGGGAAAUUCUACUGUUACCGUACCCCCAUCUGAAUUAUCUGCAUGUUAUUGGGAACUUAUCUUCCGCAUAGUUGCUGUGGAUAUACCUGUGAUGAUUCACAGUUUACGCGUUGAAUAUGCGAUGCACAGUUCAGUUGUGUGCGUUAAGCAUGAGAGGAAUUGGUAUAGAUCCACAAGCACGUCGCGGCACCGUGCCGCACAGCGCGACCAGAUGUUAGUGGUUCGUUGGCUCAGCUUGAGCCUUAAUGCACUGUGUGGUUCGUUGGCUUAGGCUAGAGUGUUCGGAAACUAAGAUGGGUAGCCUAAGAGCAUGGACGUUUCUACAUGUCAGGGAUCUCAUAGAUCAUCCCAUGCAAUGUUACAUAGAAAUUUUGAUGAUGCAAAGGAGAGAGAGUGAGGAGAGAGAAAUAGGUCAUUAUUUCACGAAAUAACCGCCUCAUGAGCUAAAUUUUAGACUAUGAAACAACUCAACAACCAUUGUACAAAUUGUUAUUGUCGUGCAACUCAUAAUAUUUCUUUUUUCAUAUGCACAAAUUAAGAAAUUAUAUAGCUCUACUAGAGAACUUAAAAGACAACCCAUUAUACAGGUUGUCUGGUGAAUCAUCUCAAGAUUACGUCUCGAUGCAUGAGACCGCCUCUUAAAUGAUACCAAUAUACUUGCCCUAAGAGCAUCUCCUUCCUAAAACGGCUAAAACUGCCUAAAAGUCUGUCAUACGAGCUGUACGAAUUGCCCUCUUCUCUCACGCAAGAGAGGCCAACCAUCGCAUUUGGAAAUUUCCGCCUCGUGCUAUUGCCACGCCACCCACACUAACUCUCUCCGUCUUUGAGUGCCACCCCAGCCCGCCCCGACCAGAUCUCACCGCAUUGCCGUCUAGGAGUCGAAAAAUCACCACUUCACGUAUGAACUUCAAAUUAGAUGAAUUUUUUUAAAAAUCAGUUGAAAUUUUCUUUUAUGCAUAUGUAUCUCCCUAGUUUAUCGGGGUGGACCAAAAUUAGAAUUGCCAAAUUCGCUUGGGAGGAUUGAGUAGUCAAGCUCCAAAGUUUCUGCAUGCUUUGUAAACAACGAGCUUGAUUUCUAGAGAUCACAACUGGUUGAGCUGAAAGUUUUUGUCAUUGUCCAUUAUGUGCUCCUAAGGACAAAAAAUAUAAAAAAAUAUCUGAAAAAAGUGUUCCAGAAAUACAAUGACAAGUGAAAAAGAGAAAAAAAAGAAAAAUAGGGGCACAUACUGAUGUCGGCAUGGCAAGGCCGCCGGCUGGAGCACCUCUCUGAACACAGAUCCGAGCGCAUGGGAAUCUAUCAGGUUGGGCUGGAGAUCGAUUUGCCGGUCUACGGCGCACUCACGCACAGCCCACAAACCGCUGCACUCACGCAUGGCCCACAAGCCGCUGCUCCUCGCGCACUUGAUGGAGUGGGUAACGCUAACGCAUCCAGACCGUCCAAUCGGUGCCCGAUCGCCUCUCCAUCCCUUCUAGAUGAAAACGAUCGGGAACCGUUGGGAAAACAUAACCACUUUCGUUACUGUAUUUUUUAGUCAGGAACAGGAGCGGGAAUGGAAAAGUCGGACGUUAAAACGAAAUCUAUAUUACGAGAUAUUGGGAAAGAAACAUUUCGAUUGGGAGCACGUCGAUAAAGAUCGGGAACCGAUAACUCUAAUCGGCACGCCAACACAUGUAACCACUUCAAACAUUUAGUUCGACAUAAUAGUUACAACCAUGCAUAUGGUAUAUGCAAACGAUACAUAAGCAAGGGGUGUUUGGAUACUAGGUACUAAACUUUAGCAGUGUCACAACAGAUAUUCGGAUGCUAAUUAGGAGGACUAAACAUGAGCUAAUUAUACAACUAAUUGCAGAACUUGUCCUAAUUCGCGAGACGAAUCUAUUAAGCCUAAUUAAUCCAUCAUCAGCAAAUGGUUACUAUAGCACCACAUUGUCAAAUCAUGGACUAAUUAGACUUAAUUGAUUCGUCUCGUGAAUUAGACUCCAUCUGUGUAAUUAGUUUUGUAAUUAGCCUAUAUUUAAUACUCCUAAUUAGCAUUCAAACAUCCGAUGUGACAGGUGCUAAACUUUAGCCGUGAGUAUCCAAACGGGCCUAAGGGGGUGUUUGGUUCCACGGACUAAAGUUCAGUCCCUAUCACAUCGAAUGUUUAGAUGCUAAUUAGGAGUAUUAAACAUAGAAUAAUUACAAAACCAAUUGCACAGAUGGAGGCUAAUUCGCGAGAUGAAUCUAGCCUAAUUAAUUCAUGAUUAGCACAUAUUUACUAUAGCAUCACAUUGUCAAAUCAUAGAGUAAUUAGGCUUAAUAAAUUCGUCUCGCGAAUUAGCAUCCAUAUGUGCAAUUGAUUUUAUAAUUAGCUCAUAUUUUGUCCUCCUAAUUAGUAUCUAAAUAUUCGAUGUGACAUUGAUUAAACUUUAGUCCGUGGAACCCACCACCCCAAUAAGUCUGUUAGCUGUUAGAUUAGCAAUGUGAGAAAAAACAACUGACGGUGCUGGCGCUGCUCCUAUACUAUGGGCCUACUCACGUUCUUUAUUUUCCCAUAUAGCCCGCUUACGAGAGAGAUAAGGCAAAUCUCCAUCUGUUCUCUAGGCACAAACACAGCAGCCUUAUCCUCUCCAUUGCUGCACAGGUGGGUAGCUGUAGCUGCGGGCGUGCGGGCAUACUAGAGAAGUGGCGAGAUGGGGCAGCCGCUGAGAAGGUGCGUCGGCCAGAGGGAGGAGGUGCGGUGUGUUGGUGAGAUGCAGCGGAGGGACAGGGGCCAUGCGGUGACCGGCGAUGGGAGCUCAGCGGCGCAAGACCUGCUCUCUCGUAGCGAGCCUGAGCGGCAUCGGGCGAGCACCAGAUGAAGUGCUUGGACGGCGUGGUCAACCUUUAGCAAGCUGGUGCGAGCAGCGGAUGGGGAUCCUUCUGCAGCUAGUCUGAGGAGCAAGGAGAUUGGGCGUGGGAGGCGGGAGUCAGUCGCAGAGGUUAGUCGGGAAAAAUCCGGUGAAAAAACUGGAAAUUCCCGAUAAAAAACGGAAACCGACAAUUUGGUGGGGGAAAACCUUCCAACCGAUUCCGAUCCCGAUUUCGUCAGAUUUUCUCGGAUUUUUUUCCUAUUUCGAAUUUUCCUGUAAAUACGGUAUUCGAUCGGUAUACACGGGAUGCGGUAUCGGUCGGUACGGGUAGGUUUCUACUUUCAUCCUAAUCCCUUCUGCGCUGGUCCGGUUAGGUUUCUCAAUCCUCGCAGAACGCAGAUUCCUCUUUGCCCCAGCGUCGCCUCUUGCGCUUCCCGAUCUAAUCCCCUUCCUCGCCAGUCGCCGCCGGCGCACCGCCCGCCCCCUCCUUCCUUCCCUCGCCCGCCGCCCACCCCCAACUCUAACCCCAAUCCCCAUGGAGGGUGGCGCAAGCGCAAGCCAUCCACCGGGUGAAGUGAGUGGCGGAAGCCAUCCUCCUGGUGAAGUGCUGUUGUCUCGCUCCGUCCAGUUCAAGGAUGAGAUGGUAGAGUUCAUCGAAGAACAAGGACUCCCGUCGCUGGAGAGCAUCAUGGAUGCAGCUCUCGAGGGCAUCCCGUCGUCGAAGAGGCAGACCGUGAUGCAGCGUGAGAUACUGCAUUAUCGGGAAACGGUGGAGAAGCAGGCAGAGGAUGCCCUUCGCGAGCGCAAACUCUGCUGUCCCAGUGCCACGAAGAAGGUCCCGGUGGUCUUCACCGGCGGCGAUGAUCCUGUCUUCUACGGUCAGGCGCUGCAGGGCAUUGAACCCCAUUUCAUCCAGGUUGCCCACCCCAACGAGGUGACCGCCCUGGCUCUUCGGGUGUCAUGGCCACGUUACUCUUCCUUCUACAGCUUCCCGCCUGGUGCCUUCAUCUCGAGCGCCGACCGAAACAUGCUCGUCCUAUAUGUUGGUCCUUACCGCCCCUGCCUCAGUCUACGGGGGUUUUAUCUCGCGUACGAUGUCUGGGCAAACUCAAUCGCCGUGAUCCCACAGCUGCCAUCCGGAUCCGUGUCCAUGUUCACCCACGUUGGCAUUGGGACUGGGGUCGCUAUCCAGAGCCGCGGCGAUCAGCCCGGAGAGUUCAUCCUCGCUGAGCUCCUGCUCAAAAAACAACGAGGCCGCCCCUCAAGCAAAGGCACCCUUUUCAAGUGGUUCUCAUCCGGCCCUGCCGCCGGUCAGUGGAUUCAGACUGAGGUGGUCCUCCCUCUGCCUACUAAGCCUGAAGAGCACGCGUCACGUUCCUCCUGUACCUUCUGCUCCGAUAUUGUCUCUGUGUUCGGAACAGCUGGGCUAUGCUGGGUUGACUUACUUCAGGGGAUAUUGAUAUGCAAUGAUGUGAGCUCUGCCCAUCCCCAGUUCCGUUUCGUUGGAUUGCCCAGAAAGCCUACCAUCAAACCUGGCAUUGAGGGCCGGGGGAUGCCGGCAGCACAUAGCUCCAUUUGCUAUGUCGAAGACACCCUCAGAUUCAUCACCAUUGACAACUAUGGCCACAGGGACCCCUUCUGUGCGACCCUCUCCAUCUGGGCCCUCCAGGACAUCCAGAUACCGGAGUGGGUGUUGUUUUACUCAUUUUCCUUUGGAAAUAUCCAGCUUGACCCAUUCUACAGAAGGAUGAUGCCCACUUUCCCUGUCCUUAGCAUGGCAAACGAACAUGUUAUCUAUGUUACUGUUGCUGCUGAUCUUACAUCGGUUCCAGGGAAGCUGGAAGAGUGUGUGCGGCAUGUGCUCUGCAUUGACAUGAUGCAUGGCUGUGUCGUGAGUGUUUCCAACCUCCCUCCAGGAAGUGGGCUUACUCCUCCCAACUUCCUAGCAUGUAUCUUCGGCAGCUGCCUUCACAAGGUAACUCUUAUUGACAUCUUAUCUUUUUUAUUGCGAAUGGAUAGUAACUAAUUGGUCACUACGAUUGUUCGCAUCUGAUUUAUUAGUGUCUCACUGACAUCUCAUCUUUUUACAUGUAGAGUCCUUGCAAUGAAAACCAAGAGUGUGAAGAAAAAAUAAGCAUGACGGAAGUUGAUGCUGUGCGCCUCAAACAACGUUCUUUCAGAUCAUUUGAGCCUCUGCAUGGGCAAUCUGCCACAGGUAGCAGGAACUUGAGAGGUUUGGCUUCCUUAGUGGAUGACUGUGCCUUCAGCGAGUGAGGAAGGAAAUCUUCUCCGUAAUUGCUACUAUCUGUUUGCAAACUUGCAAUACAGAAACUUUAGUACAAAUACUGUUGACUUGACCUCAAGAUGCACUUCUUUUUUGUCUGGUUUCUUUCUGGUGUUCCAGAUUCUGGUGUUUCCACUUAUGCCUGAAGUUUUAAGUUCUUUCUCAUCAGUUCCGUGGUCAGCAUCCUGAUCACAUAUGCAUCGAGAUAAUUUCCAGAAUGGCAUGUUGUUUGUAGCUCUUUGAUCAGUAUGCUGAGCACCUAGGUUCAUCGACACCCGUUCCCAUGUUUUCUGUUAAAAAUAGCAAACCAUUGGCAUCCAUUGUUGUCUUAUACAGCACAGUUUCUGAAUGGACACAAUGGCCACAUGCCAUUUCUGGAAACCAACAGAAAUGGUCAGGCAGAAUACAUUAGGUAGAAGACAACCUGAUGCUGUUGCUAAAUAUUAUAUCAGAGAAUUGUCACUUUUGUUCAUUCACGUAAAAUUAGAGAGUGAUGGAUCAAGGCAUAUAUAUAAUCAUGCCCUUACAUUAGCGCUAUAUACAACAAAUAAUUUACAUUUUUUGUCUGAACCUCAAGCAUCAUACCCUCCUAGCAGGAUCAAAAGGGGAAAGAAAAGCUGCCUGAUCAUGCUUACAACUGCUUUGCAUCCAGUUUCGUCAAAAGGGUGUUAAAUUGCUAUGUCAACGAGCAUGUUUCGUCUUGCUCGGUUGCUCUUACUUCCUAGUCAUCUGCAGAAAACAAUCUCCGAGCGACAUGCGGUCUCUUCCUCUUCUUCAGAGUGUCAUCUCCAGAGCAGCGAUCAGCCAAGUUCUCCUUCAUUGCUUCUUCUUUUGCAAACUCGUCUUCUUUCAGGUGCUCAGAAUCAGAACCCAGCUUAGAACGACCAGGAUAAGAUUGUGUGUUCUUUUAUUCGCCUCCACAAUAGCUACUUCUGUGAGGCAUUAGUUCCUCCUCUGGCUUCACCAUGUGUCAGUUGUCAAGAUUUGCGGAUCAAGACUUAGACUAGUAAAUUUCUUUUAUGCGCAUAAAGCUUUGAAUGGUGGCGUGGGAGACACGGGGUUAGACUGGUUCGGGCAAAGGAGGCCCUACGUCCAGUAUCGAGGCUGCUCGUGUUACCCACGCGGGGUUCUGUAGUAGGGGUUACAGAUGGGCAAGAGAGGGAACUGAUCCCAGGUCUCUUGUGUGUGCUAGUGCUCUAAGGGACUGUGAGAAUGUGCUGUUGGCUUGAGGAAAAGAGUCUCUUCCGUCCCGUGACCCCCGGUCCUCCUUUUAUAGCACAAGAAGGAGCCUGGGGUUACAGUUGAGACCGGCCUUAGGAGAGGAAACAGAAAGGAUAAGCCAGAAAGAAAAAUAGUACAAGGGAGGGCCCCGAGGCCGCCGCUCCCGCUUCGGCCCCCGGUCUCUGCCAGCGCGCCCGACGAGGGAAGGCGAUCUCCUCUUGAUCUUGUCGAUGAUCUCCCUGGUCGCCGUCGCCGUCGAGAGUGAUGAUGAGCCUCAACCUCGGCAUCCGUGCCCGCCGGGGAGGAGGUCUGACUCUGUUGCCCCGCCGGUUACCGUAAGACCCGAACGUCGCGUCCCUGACGCUACCAUUAGGAGCACAGGGCGCGAGGGCAAGCGAUGCGCCCUCCGGUGUCGUUCGGCGUGGCUCAUGAGUACCCUGUGGCGAAUCAGAAGGAGCCGCGGCCACUGCAACCCGCGCCGCACGGCCGUGCUCCGGUAUUCGUGACCGGUUACGUUGGGGACGCCGCUCCCUUGUGGCUUGACAGGGCCGCGGCGCAUUUAUGGCGAGGUUGAUAGGGGGACCCACGAGAUCGUUAUCCUUAUCCUCCGGUCCGCGCCCGAGGGGAAUAUCCGUCUCGUGGACCCGAGUGAGUCCAACCCCCGCGUCCAGGGUCGGACGAGGCGGAGUUUCUGUGAUGGGGGUCGGGAGCUCCCGACCCCGGUUCCCCGGGUCGGACGAGGCAGAGCCUUGCGGCGAGGGGCCGGGCGCUCCCGACCCUGGGUCCGCGGUCGGACGAGACGGAACCUUGCGGCGAGGGGUCGGGCGCUCCCGACCCUGGGACCGCGGUCGGGCGAGGCGGAGCCCCAUCAUCGAGGGGUCGGGAUUGUCCGACCCCGGGGCCCUGGGUCAGGUGAGACGGAGUGGGAUGUUCUCUGCUUCCACUGGGCCGGAUGUGAUCAUAAUUACCGCGGGUGGGCCUGGGCCUUCGUGACUGUCGCUUUUAGUGGUUUUGGGAGGUCGUUAAUAUUUCCCCCAACACAUGUGUUUCUUUAUCUGUGAGUGUGUAGAACAUGGCAAUACAUCAACAGCAUUCGAUGGAAUAAAAAAUACAGGAAGCCGAAUUAAAUGGAUGGGAGAUAACGGAUGACUAGUAUUACACAAACAUUUCAGUGAGAGCUGUUGAUAUAAUCCUUUUCUAACCAUGCAAAUCCUCGCUCAGUUUAGAACCAAACAAGGUAUAACACAAGCAGUCAUUUGGAAGCAUUUCGUUCGAGCAUUACAGUACACGGCAUCCACAUCAAUUUCGUGAUCUUGCUUCGCCAGCUGGCCACCUUCCGCUGGCUCUGUUGCAUUUCCCCCCGAGCAAUUUGAAAUGUCAUGUUGGAUCUAGUUCAGAGGAUUACACUUCCUCUGGCCGUCCGAUCAUUAAUCCAACAAAAAGAGAUAUAUCUUGCAGUUAGAUAUACGGUUUAGGAUCAUUUUAGAGUACCGUAGUAAAAUUUAAAAAAAGAAGAACAUAGAGCUUUUUUAAAUAAAAGAAAAGAAAAGAAAUGUAAAAGCUUUACCCGGAGAAAAAUCUGUGUGAGCUGCUGCAGUUCCAGUUCCAGUUGCAAUUACCAAGCAGCUCACCGAGCCAGAUCCAGCUAACUUGUGUGUGAUUGUGUCCCGAUCGGCCGGUUUAAAUGCUAGCAGUCUAGCAAUUACUUGUGUGAUUUGUGAUUGUGACUUGUGAGGGUAGGUAGAUUAGUUCAAUCCAGGUUUAAGCGCUAGCAGUCUAGCACAUCACGAAAAGGGGUAGUAAAUGGAAUGAGAGUUGCACAUCGCAACAUGGCGGUGCCCGUAUUCAGUUCUUUAGUACAAACUGAAAAUGGAUUAAUCGGAACGGAACUGUUUUCGUCUUCGUCCUGCCUCCACCCCCAGGAAUAUAUCCUAUGCAAAAUGCUAUGCAAAAUGCUUCAAGCGAGCCGUUGUACACUUGGGUCAUGUUUAGUUCCCUCCAAACUCCCAACUUUAACACUAUGUAAAAAGAAGAUUCCCCAUCACAUCAAACUUGCGGUACAUGAAUGGAGUACUAAAUGUAGACGAAAUAAAAAACUAAUUGCAUAGUUUUGUUGUACUUUGCAGGAUGAAUCUUUUGAGCCUAAUUAGUUAAUAUUUGGACAAUAACUUACAAAUACAAACGAAACGCUACAGUUGCGCAUUUAUGGUAAAAUGCCAAUUUUACCGCUCCCAAAUUGAGAACUAAACAAGACCUUGUACUCGAUCGGCGGGCCUUUACGUUGUACACUUGUGCCUCAACAUGCUCUCGUCUCGCACCCCAUGCUCUCCCUCCCUGCUCCAUGUGGGCCCUCGGGGGAAAUAGAUGGACAGCUGAGUGCCUGAGUGGACGUGUGCUUCUCGUUACCUCUAUGUCACAUAAGAUGCACACAUUUUAGCACACUAAAAUUACUUAAAAUUAUUCCAUAACGGUGAUGCACAUAUAUGAAAGAUCACGUUAGACUACCUGAAAAAAAAACA